rnacentral:lncRNA from 1 species
UCCUUUUAAUGUUAACCGUAGAUCAAAUUUGAUCCAACGACUGAUAUCAACCCUCUCUCUUCCCUUUUUAAUCCAUUCCUAACCCUAAUCCAUUCAACAUUAGCCGCCCUCUCACUCUCUUUCUCUGCUGUCCCUUCUCUCUAAAACAAAACCGCUGUCGCUGCCUUCUACCGGCGCCGCUGCCACCGCGCCACUGCCUCCCUCCGUUCUCCUUCUAGUUGCCGCCAAAACCAUCUUCCUUCAUCUCCUCCGUGAACCAAACUGCCGCAGCCAAUCGCCGCCUUCCACCAUAGCAAUAGUAGUAGCCGACAAAGAUGCCAGCGCCGCUGCAUCUUCCCCACCAACCGACCAGCACGCACAAGCCCACAGCACCCGCUUGCUUUCGUGUUAAUUUUAGGUUGUCUUCUACUGCUUUGUUUCUUCUUUUUCUAACACAUUUUGUGAUCUUUGUUUCUUCUUCUUUUAACAUAUUUUGUGAUAUGAAUUUGGCGAAAUUCGAUUGAAAUAUUUUGAUACACAUGUGGGUUCAAAUACUUUCUUACUACUAGAUACACACGUGGUAUGCCAAUUAGUGAUAGAUUCUGGAUUCAAAUUGUUUCAAUUUGACUUUUAACCCUGAAUUUGUUGUAGUUCUAAAAUUAUGACUUCAAUUUUAAUAUUUGUUGAAAUUUUAGUAAGUUUUCAUAUGUAAAUAUUUAUUCGUGUUAAUACAUAAAAAUUGUAACGCCCCUAGCUAGCCUUAGCAUGACGAACAAGAACCAUAUGAGUGUCAGCUAUGUGCCUGACAUAUAUACAAUGCGGAGGAGUUACAAUUUACAAACAAUGAUAAGGGGCUAUGUACAACUAUGACAACGUGUGACAAUUAUAUACUGUCUAUGAAGUCUCUAAGAGAAAUUGUAAUUGUACCGAAAACAUAAUUAAAAGUACUAGAUAUUUAUUCGCUCCAGGUAAGACUGGAGCUUACCGACUGCUUUGUUGAAUACAGACGAGUGCUUUGUAUAGAAGUCUGCUCAUCAAUACAUCUGAUCCUGUAUUUACAGAACACAGUACCCCCAAACGUGGAGAUGUUAUUACAUAUAAAAUAUGUACUAAUAUGCAAAGCAGACAGAAUAACAAGUAAACGUAUAAGGAUGCUCAAUGAGUCAAACAGUAGAAUGAGCAACUUCGGAUGACUGAACACUAGAACCUCUUGUAUGAAACUAUAACUUAUGAAAAC